AGAAGGUAUAGCAAUAGCUAGUUGUAUUAACAUAAUAAAUAAUUUUUACAAUCUCGAGUAAUUCGGAUAAAAUUCUAGGUAGAUUUAUGAUAAUGACAUUAUCUAUCUAUGUGUCUUGACCAAAUUACGUGCCAGCAGUCGCGGCAAUACAUAGAAGACUAGUGUUAUUCAUCUUUAAUUGGUUUAAAGCGUACUUAGACGGUAAUUAUAGCCUAACUAAGGUACUUUUUUACUAGAGUUAUAUAUAAGGGUGUAUUAAAGUACUGUUGAGUUUAGAGAUGAAAUUUUUUGACACCAGAUAAUUGGCACAGGUAAAGGCGAAAGCAUCACUUUAUGUAAUAACUGACGUUAACGGACGAAGGCUAUGUAUCGCAAACAGGAUUAGGUACCCUAGUAGUCUUAGCAGAAAAUUAUGAAUGUCAUAGGUUAGAUUUUAUUUGGUCUAUAAAUGAAAGUGUAAGCAUUCCACCUCAAGAGUAAUUUGGCAACAUUGGAACUGAAAUCAUUAGACCGUUUCUGAAACCAGUAGUGAAGUAUGUUGUUUAAUUUGAUGAUCCGCAAAAAACCUUACCACAAUUUGAAUAUUAUUAUAUACACAAGCGUUGCACGGCUGUCUUCAGUUAAUGUCGUGAGAUUUUGGUUUGGUCCAUUUAAUUAACGUAAACCCUUACUCUAGUUUUAUAUAGAGUUUUCCACCGGCAUAUUGGAUGUGAUAAGAGGGACUAGGACAAGUCAUCAUGGC
rnacentral:rRNA from 1 species